rnacentral:lncRNA from 1 species
CCGCCAUUGGAGAGCCGUCUUUCUGCAGACUCGAUGAAAACUUCAUGUAGCAGCUGUCAUCUGGUAAAAACUUCGUACCUUCCAGAAGCUAUAUUCUCUAAUUUCUGACACUUCUGCCACUUGUUCAUCAGGCUUGCUUUGUUAAAAUUACUGGAUUUUUAUUUUAACUCCAUAACCAGUAUCCCUGAAGAGAUCGGCUCAGCAACUUCGUCGGUUAAGUAGGAGCAACACCAUUGCAGACACAGGAUGCAAAUAAAGGAAUGCUGCAGUACAAACACUUGGCAGUUUGUUUCAGUAUCAAAACCAUGAUGUAAAUAAAAGACCGUUGAAUUAUCCAAAAAAAAUAUUUGUAAAAUUUUUUGUCAGAGUAUUUGGAUGGUGAAUAAACCAGGAGUUUUCAAUUUUCAAUACAAGUGAAAGAUUAUAUGCGAAGUUUGCUGUCCUUCUAACUAUGAUGCCCAAUUUGUCUUAGCAACGGAUCUGCUACAAGAAUUUGUAUUCUAUAGUGAUGUUGGAUUCAUUGAAUCUAUUGCGAUUUUAGCAAGAGCACAACCAUUAAUGAGCAGGUGUGAUGUUGGUACCUGAAGAUGCCUAGCCCUAAAGACAUAGGACAGUUGGCUGUGCAUUGCCUCUGAGUAUAGUGAUAGAGGGUACCAUGUAUCAAGUAAGUGAAAUAGGAUUGAAUGACAAAGGAUACUUGUAAGUGAAUGAAAGGAAGCCUAGCAAAGGGGAAGCUCAGAGAAGGCAGAAUUGUUAUGUUCACAACUGUGCUGACCUCCUGAAUUUACAGGGUUCUCUAGAAUUAAUAACCAAACACUUGUGAAAACUCAAGACUUAGAAUAAGCGAUUUCAGGAGAAUAAUUAAUUUUGCACAUUAAAACAGCCAUGUAAACUCAAAUGCUUCGUGCUCCUACCUUAUAUAAAUCUGUAACUUCUUUUUGGUAAUAAAUUUCUGAAAGAUAAUACAAGACUUAAGAAAUAAGAACAGACAAAUUCUGAACUGUUCUUAGAAAACUUAAACAAAAUUUCUCUAAUAGCCAAGAUAAUAACGUAAAGCAACAAAAAGGCAGAUCUUAUCCCUAAAAAAAUUUUAUUUCAUAUUAAUGGCCAAUCAUUUUUGACUACUUUAAGGAUAUCUCUAAACCAUACCCCAAAUGCAAAUGCCUGACAAUAUUAUCUGAUGGUAUCAGCUACCAUGUGCAUGCUAUGUAGGUUUUAUAUGUUGAGUUCAUCAGCACAGACUAUAUUGAGAUAGUGCAUAGCCGGUGAUUAAUUCAACUGAAGAAGCUUAUAUCCGCAUUGAUGUCUCAGAAUUGUUCGAAUUUAGUUAAAAAAAUCCUCAAGCAUAUGACAUUCCAAGAUUCUUCAAGAUGUUUACUUGUUUGAACUCAUAUUAUCAAAAGGAUUAAGAGAACCAUCAAAAAUUAUAGGACUGAAGUUUGUUUCCUGGACAUAGGACAUCUUUAGUAAGCCAAGAAGCCUCAAAUGUAUUUGGCCUAAAUUUCAGUUUUAGAGGUGGAUUAAAGGAGUAGAAGAAUACAAGCCCUUAUCUAUAUUUUUAUCUAUGCCACCCUCACUUCGUGACCAAAGUUCAAUGCAUGUGAGAACACAGAGAACAUAAAAAAGGGGGUGCUUCCAAGUUUCAAUAUUAACAAAAGCAGCAAAACAAAAAGUUGGGUUAAAACACCAAUAUAACUAAAACAUUUCUCUUUAGCUUCUUAGGAAACUUUUAGCAUUGUAAAAUCAAGUCUGCUAUCAAAAGAAAAUAUAUGAAUACUCAUCUUAAUUGAGAAUUGACAUUGUCCAACAUUAUUUAUAACAGCCUAAGCACCUAAAAUAUCAGAUAGGCAAUUCAAUGGCAACAGUCCAUGGUUUUAUGUUAAUUCAUGUUUUAACAACCUAUGCUCUGUCGAAUUUUGGUUACUUUUCAAGAUCUGCAUGACCACGCAAAUCAAUUCUCAAUCUGUAUGCACCAUAACAUAUUUUGGCAGUUCAGCUCUAUCAGCACUGUCAUUUUGUUUCCUCUAGAUGCAAGGAUUGAAGCAUUAAAAAAUCAGAAAGUAAAUACAUAAUAAGUUUAAUCUUGAGUCACAAAUCAAAAGACUUCAGUAGCAACAGGGGUAUACCUGCUCUCUUUUUUCAAGUCAAGCGGCACAAAAUUCACCAUCAGAAAUCAUCAACCUAUACAAACACCAGCAAAAGACAGAUAAAUUUUAUGAUCAGAAUAGAAAAAAUAAG